GGGCCGCCCCCGCCCGCCCCGGGGGCUGGGCUCCGCCGGAAGAACCCGGCCGACUCGGGGCCGGCUCGCGGUCUCCCCGCCGGAGGGGGGCCUCCCCAUCACCGUCAGCCUCGCCAGGGACCGGGAGCCGAGCGCACCGGCCGAAGGGGACUGCUCAGGAGCUCCCUAGAAACGAAGUUAAGGAGCAAGAGGACAGCUAGAACACGCCGCACGACUUCGCGAGGCGCUUGCAGCGUCACAGGCAGCCCCCUGAGGCCCAGCCCUGGAUGCCGGAGGCUUGCAUCAGAGACCAGAUUUUAUUUAUUCAUAGUGACACAGAGCGAGAGAGGCAGAGACACAGGCAGAGGGAGAAGCAGGCUCCAUGCAGGGAGCCCAACGUGGGACUCGAUCAGGGGUCUCCAGGAUCAGGCCCUGGGCUGCAGGCGGCGCUAAACCACUGCACCACCGGGGCUGCCCUCAAAAUGCCUCUUAUGACAAUUGAACUGAGCACCUGGAUGAUACCAUUUUAACCCUGCCAUGACUGCACUCAAAACUUGGGAGGCCUUCAUACGGUCAAAGAGCAGAUCCCACAGUUACCUGGUUACCAGUUUUAAGUCACUUGAAGAAACAAAAAAGCCACCUCACGCCAGAAAAACCACUUGAACUCCAAGAAAUCUUUUUUUCUGCAAAAAAGGUGGAGAGAACAUCUUAGACCACCUAACAGAAAUGUCAACCAACCCAAGGCGAAUCAACUUUCAACCAUUCAAAACAACCCUGCACCUCAACAGAGCCUCAGCACACAUGCUACUUGGAGUCUAGAAAUUCCAGCAAGCUUGAUACAAAUAACUGCAAGAAGCUAAUAAGUCUCUGACUCAGGCUGAGCCAGUCAAGAUGGUACUUCACACUUCAGCAGAAGAAAUGGACACACGGACUGGGGCCUAUCCCACUUAGGCGUAUGCCAAACAAACUUUCUUCUGACAAGAAUUUCUAAGUUAAAAAGAAGGGAACAAGCUGGAGGAGUUUUUCCAAGAAACAGAUUUCACAACACAUCAAUGUAACAACUGCUAUUUUUAAAUAAACAGUACUAUUAUUAAAUAAA